AGAAGCGUAGUUGCAGCAUGUAAAGGGGAGGGAAGAACGAAAACUUCACCGAACCCUUACGACAAUCUUUCGUACGCCGUAACUUCUCCGUCCGAGCUCCGAUUGCCACACCGUUUGCGGUCACGCGUCCACUGCGUCAAGCUCUACAUUUUUAUUGGAACAAUUUUAUAGGAUCCAAUUAACUUGAGGGAAAUGUUCACUCUUGCUUAUGUAAAGCUUGGGUAAGGUUGUGAAUAAAUAAUUGGAGCUUGAAAUUGUGAAUACUGGAACUUGGAGGAAGUUGAUUAGUUGAAUUUUGAGGGGCUGCCUUGUUUUUGAAUAAAUAGCUUUGGUCGUUACGUGGAAAUUGGCCAAGAUGCAGGUCGAGAGGCACCUCGUUAGGCAUCUGGACUCUCUUAAAGCGGAGUGGUUACUAGGUAGUUUUGUUGUACAGUGAUGAAUAUAUAUGUACUUAGCUUUCUCUCCGCAUAACUUAUUCUUUUUGAUC